rnacentral:lncRNA from 1 species
GUGCCACAAGUCUUUGGAUGGAGUGGCGAGAUGUGCUUGACGAGAGCGUGGAUGUGACACUGGAUACAAGGCGCCUUGAGCCCUACCGUGUAGACGAAUUUGCCUCGUGAUGCGGUCCUUGAUAAGGAAAUAAAAGGGGUGAAGUUCAACGAAACAAUUGUUAUCGAAAGCAAGUUUAUUUGCAGACAUGAGACUUUUGCUAAUGUGUGGAGUGUGUAAGACAUUUUUCAGGUGUAGAACAGAUUGAUUUGAACCAGGUAAAGAGGAUUCACCAACAUGUAAAAUAGGAAUAUGCGUACCAUUGGUCACCUGGAUCUGAUCGUGGCCUUCAUAAUUCUUUUGUACAUGGAGACGAUCCAUGUCGUUGGUCAUGUGAUCCGUCUCCCCGGAGUCCAUGAUCCAGGUUGGUU